UAGGGAAUAUUGCACAAUGGGGGAAACCCUGAUGCAGCGACGCCGCGUGAGUGAUGAAGGCCUUCGGGUCGUAAAGCUCUGUUGAAUGGGAAUAAAAAAAUGAAGGUACCAUUUAAGAAAGGAUCGGCUAACUUCGUGCCAGCAGCCGCGGUAAUACGAGGGAUCCUAGCGUUGUUCGGAAUCAUUGGGCGUAAAGAGUAUGUAGGCGGCCUAGUAAGUCAGUUGUGAAAGCCCCGGGCUCAACCCGGGAAGUGCAAUUGAUACUGCUUGGCUUGAAUGUGGAAGAGGGCAGUAGAAUUCCAGGUGUAGUGGUGAAAUACGUAGAUAUCUGGAGGAAUACCGGUGGCGAAGGCGGCUGCCUGGUCCUACAUUGACGCUGAGAUACGAAAGCGUGGGGAGCAAACAGG
rnacentral:rRNA from 1 species